CUUCCUGUUUGUUCGCGGCAUUAGCCUCCGUCCCGAGAGGAGUGAACACCCUCAUUCUGGAUGGCAAUCCCUGAGUCAGAUGCAUUAUUUAGAUGGAGACGGCAACUUCAUCAGAUCAACGGCCGGAUCGGCAAACUUCUCCAAAGAAGCAGCCCCUCCCUUACGACGACAUGCUGCUGCCUCUAGGAUGACGUAAUGAAAUGGACGGGACCCACUUGCAGCGGCAGGUGGAGCCUCAGGAAUCGAGUCCUUUUACUUCCAGGUAGGAAAAAAACUCCCUAAAAUAACUCAUAUUUUAUCAUUUGCUUUUUAGUGUACCAAAGGUAAUGUAUAAUCAUUCAUUCGUUCAUCUUCUUGGCUGCUCUGUCCCUUUUGGGG